UACGUAGGGUGCAAGCGUUGUCCGGAAUUAUUGGGCGUAAAGAGCUCGUAGGCGGUCUGUCGCGUCUGCUGUGAAAACCUGGGGCUUAACCCCGGGCCUGCAGUGGGUACGGGCAGACUAGAGUGCGGUAGGGGAGACUGGAAUUCCUGGUGUAGCGGUGAAAUGCGCAGAUAUCAGGAGGAACACCGGUGGCGAAGGCGGGUCUCUGGGCCGUAACUGACGCUGAGACGCGAAAGCGUGGGGAGCAAACAGG
rnacentral:rRNA from 1 species